rnacentral:rRNA from 1 species
AUUGAACGCUGGCGGCAGGCCUAACACAUGCAAGUCGAACGGUAACAGAAAGCAGCUUGCUGCUUUGCUGACGAGUGGCGGACGGGUGAGUAAUGUCUGGGAAACUGCCUGAUGGAGGGGGAUAACUACUGGAAACGGUAGCUAAUACCGCAUAACGUCGCAAGACCAAAGAGGGGGACCUUCGGGCCUCUUGCCAUCGGAUGUGCCCAGAUGGGAUUAGCUUGUUGGUGGGGUAACGGCUCACCAAGGCGACGAUCCCUAGCUGGUCUGAGAGGAUGACCAGCCACACUGGAACUGAGACACGGUCCAGAGUCCUACGGGAGGCAGCAGUGGGGAAUAUUGCACAAUGGGCGCAAGCCUGAUGCAGCCAUGCCGCGUGUAUGAAGAAGGCCUUCGGGUUGUAAAGUACUUUCAGCGGGGAGGAAGGGAGUAAAGUUAAUACCUUUGCUCAUUGACGUUACCCGCAGAAGAAGCACCGGCUAACUCCGUG